AGGACACAGACAGGCAUUCUCUGUAACCAGACAGGUCCCGUAAAAUGUAAGCUGCCAAUUUGACGUGUAUUUCCCAUGGGUGAGGCUGAAGAUGGCUCAGUAUGAUCUCAGAACUCGUCAGCCUGAGAAUUCGGCCAAGGGUGGGAAAGCCCAAAAGGACACAGUAGCCGAUAGUACACAGAAGUCCAAAAGGCAUGGAGAAGAAACCGCUGAAGGCUUAAAGCUAAAACACACUGCUUAGCCAGUGCGAUGCUGGACCUCAUCCAACCAAGAGAAGAGGUAUCUUACCAGGGAACAAUCGUUGGAGCCUCUAUUUUUAAAUUCUUGAGCGCCAGUCUCAAAGAAAAUUGAAGUGGGUAAUUUAGCAC
ensembl:lncRNA